rfam:Rhodnius prolixus Rhodnius_prolixus-3.0.3-7149.1, whole genome shotgun sequence.
GAAAAUGGAUGGCGCUGUAGCGUCGUGCCUAUACUCUGCCGUCAAUGACAAAGAUGAUUAAUAAGCUGUGUGUUAAUUAAUGUUGUAGUCUUGACUGCAGUAUUGUUAAUUACAAAGUUUAUUACUAUAUCAUCAUUAUGUCUUGAUGAGUAAGAGGGCCGCGGCGAUGAGCGCAGAAGGGUCUGGGCGAGAGCCCGCCUGGAGCCGUCGCUGGUGCAGAUCUUGGUGGUAGUAGCAAAUACUCCAGCGAGGCCCUGGAGGACUGAUGUGGAGAAGGGUUUCUUGUGAACAGCUGUUGCACAAGAGUCAGUCGAUCCUAAGCCCUAGGAGAAAUCCGAAGCGAUAUGCGCCCGUUAAAUAAUUUUUUUUUAUUAAAUGUUUGGCGCUAUCUGGGCGAAAGGGAAUCCGGUUCCUAUUCCGGAACCCGGCAGCGGAACCGUUCCAAAUCGGGCUCUCAUUUGAGAACUCGUCGGGGUAACCCGACAAGACCCGGAGACGCCGUAGGGAAAUUCGGAGAGAGUUGUCUCUUCUCUAUAAGCGUUCGAGUUCCCUGGAAACCUCUAGCAGGGAGAUAGGGUUUGGAACGCGAAGAGCACCGCAGUUACGGCGGUGUCCGGAUCUUCCCUACGGACCUUGAAAAUCCGGGAGAGGGCCACGAGGAACCCCGCGCCGGCUCGUACCCAUAUCCGCAGCAGGUCUGCAAGGUCAAUAGCCUCUAGUCGAUAGAAUAAUGUAGGUAAGGGAAGUCGGCAAAUCCGAUCCGUAACUUCGGGAUAAGGAUUGGCUCUGAGGACUGAGUCGUGCCGGGCUUGGUCGGGAAGUGGAGCGGUGUCAACGUGCCGGGCCUGGGCGAGGAGAAAAUUGCGUUUCUGCGCUUUUGGAUCCGAGCUCGGUCCCGUGCCUUGGCCACCCACGGAUCUUCCUUGCUGCGAGUCGUUAGCCGUGUGGCUACCGCUGGCUUUUGCUAGCUGGUCGACCUGGCUUACGAUCUCUUCGGCCGACAUUCAACAGUCAACUCAGAACUGGCACGGACAAGGGGAAUCCGACUGUCUAAUUAAAACAAAGCAUUGCGAUGGCCCCAACGGGUGUUGACGCAAUGUGAUUUCUGCCCAGUGCUCUGAAUGUCAAAGUGAAGAAAUUCAAGCAAGCGCGGGUAAACGGCGGGAGUAACUAUGACUCUCUUAAGGUAGCCAAAUGCCUCGUCAUCUAAUUAGUGACGCGCAUGAAUGGAUUAACGAGAUUCCCUCUGUCCCUAUCUACUAUCUAGCGAAACCACGGCCAAGGGAACGGGCUUGGAAAAAUCAGCGGGGAAAGAAGACCCUGUUGAGCUUGACUCUAGUCUGGUACUGUAAGAAAACAUGAGAGGUGUAGCAUAAGUGGGAGGUAGUUUUUUUAAACUGCCGACAAUGAAAUACCACUACUUUCAUUGUUUCCUUACUUACUCGGUGAGGCGGAGGGCGUCCGUCGGGGUGAUACCACCUCGGCGUGACGGUAUUCUCGUGCCAAACGCCAAGGGUUGUCGACGUUCGAUCGUACGCCUUGUCGCGUUUAAGAUGUGGAUAUUCCUAAACGGAAUUGAUGCGUCUUAUUCGUUGUGCAAUGGCGGAUUCGGUCGUAUCGUUCGGCAACAUACUCCCUAGUGUUCUACUGACAGUCGUACAGUGCACAUCGUUUGUUAAGUUCUCUGUUUAAUUUGCCUUUUUUAUUUAGUUGUGGUCAAUUUAAAAUUCUGUGCGUUUAGAGGAGUAAAACUGGAGUGUCCC